AAAAAUUAUAAAAAUGUGUUGUACGUACUAAAUAUCUACCCACGCUCUUGUUCUCGGCAUUUCCUAUUUCCGAUAGUUGGUUAAUUUAUUACAAACUGUUCAGUUAUUAUUUUUGACGAUUUCUGUUGUGUUACGUUUCACGAAUUUAAUGAAAAAAAGAUUGAUCCGCUAUGAUUUAUAAAAGCAACAAGUUAUUGUAUGUAAUAAACUUGAUUUUCAUACACAUUUUGGUCGUUUCUGAAAGCACAAUUUUAUUUCACCGUCACGAAUAUGAUGCUUAUACUGAUUUUGAUAUUACCACAAUUUAUAGAGUCACAGAUAUACCGUCAUUUAAUAGCAACAAUGGUACCUUCAAUGGAAUUAAUUCAGUUAUUGAAAUACAUUCAAGAACUAAUGCUAUUGGAAUGCCCAUACAAGACAACGCUGAUGAUAUUCACACUAUAUCAAUGAAUAUAAAAGAAAUCAUUGAUCUUGGAUCAUUUCAGAAUAAUAGUCGAAUGAGUACUUCGUAUAACUCAAAUGAUUGGAAUCAACAAAAUAUAGACUUAGAUGGAUACCGUGGUUGUUCCAGUAAUGUGUAUCGAACGACGGAUUCAGAAAACCAAUUGAAUAAAUGCUAUAACGCUUUUGAAUAUUAUAGCUUCGGAAAAUGCUUGUCGGACAAUUACACGAGAUAUGAUUUAUCUGCUACCUGUAAUUUUUUCAAGUUUUAUUGGACACCCGAUAAAGAUGAUCAAACAUGUUUAACGAUGACAUAUUAUACCAGAUAUAAUUCAGCCGACAAGCCUUUUUUUAUUACAAUGGAUGUAAACAAUGAAUAUAAUAAUACGUUGAUAUUAUCAACCGUGUUGGAGCAAUAUAAUGGUAUAACAACAUUGAAAAUUACUAACAUUGAUUUUAAGAACAAUCAGGAAUAUAAAUUAUCAUUAAAAUUAACCACGACGGACAGAUGGCAAGCUGAAAGGGUUGAUCAAUAUUUUGCAUUUGGACUCAUACGAAUUGCCCAAUGUUCGAAUUAUGAUGAAGAAGAUGUUCGAAUUAUUUCUGUAGAUCAUGUUUCUGGAAAAAAACCAAAACCAUUCAAUAUUCUAGGAAACCGUAUAGUUGAACCUUCUAAUUAUCAAGGUUCAUGUUUAAAUGGUGGGUAUUCUAUUAAGCAAUCGUCAAAAUGCAUUUGUCCUCCUGGUUUUAAAGGGCAAUUUUGUGAGACAGGUUGUGGGGUAAACUCCUAUGGAUCUGACUGUAAAGGAGUAUGUUCUAUAUGGUCUGAUAAAAUGUGUCGUGGUAUGUUCAUGUGUACAAGUUAUGGAUGUACAUGCCCAGCGGGACUAACCGGUCCAUCGUGUAACGAAGACUGUACAAUGGGUACAUAUGGAGCUGAUUGUAGACAAACUUGUUCCGAGCAUUGUCUUAAUAAUAUGUGUGAUCAAUAUACAGGUGUCUGCUUAUAUGGUUGUUCAGUCGGAUAUAUACUACCAUAUUGUAGAGAAAAAUAUCCAUACUUCAUUAACCCACCUACACUGCGUUUUGCCGAUUACGACACGAUUGAACUAGAAUUGGAUUUUCAAGAAAAUAAUAUAAAAGGAGGAGACAAAAUUAUAAAGCCAAAAUAUUAUCAAUUAUUUUAUAAGUCUUUAAUAGAAAAUACAUUUAGAACCUCCGAAAUUAAACCAAUAAGCAACACCAAUAACGUUACAUUAGAAGUUAUCAGAGACUUAGAAUCGGAUACUAAAUUUAUGGUUGGAGUUUUGUUAAUUGCAGAUGAUGGGGAUUUUAAUGAACAGAGUAUAGUAUAUGGUCAAUAUAAAACCCAGUGUAUGCAACCACAAAUAACUGAUUACAACAUAAAAUUAAUGAGAGGAAUACAAAGCAUCAACAUAACAUGGAGCAUAAGUAUCUCAAAUCGACUAGAAUGCAAUAUUACGAAAUAUGUUUUGACGUUAAUGUCAAAUCAAUCACAAAAUCAAAUAUCUGAUGUACAAGAAAUUCUAUCAAGCACAGAUAGUGGUCACGUUUUGGAUAAUCUUCUUCCGGGUUUUAAAUAUAACAUAAAAUUAACUCCUUCGACAAGUAAUGGGACGAUGCCAUCCUCGCCUAUUUAUUCGAUCACUACUCUUAUGACAAAAAACGGCGUUCAAAUAAAAAAUAUUUCUACUAUAUAUGAAAAUGGAAAAAUCAAAGUAAACUGGAUAUUGGUAAAUUCUCAUCAACAUUAUACUACAGUCGAUGAACCAGUAACAUCAAUCAUCAAAUAUAAAGUGAAACGAAUUCUCAGCUGUUCCAUAAGGGAAGUAGAACAAAAUUGGACGUCAAUAACAAUUUUUAAUCAAACCAACUAUGAAAUAUUCGAUACAGUGCCGAAUUCUCAAUAUAGUAUACAAGUUUUGGUUGGCAUAGAAGACAAAAUUACUACUCAACAAGAAAAUAUGAUUAAUGUAUUAACGCCAGCUUCAAGUCCAAUAAGUGAACCAAUCUUAGAUCCUGAUCAUCCAAUGUGUAUAACUUAUAACUCUAUAUUUGUUCAGUGGAAAAUUGAUCCCGAAAAUUGCUCAAAAUUAAAUGGAUUUUUGUCUCAAUUCUAUAUAGAAUUAAAGAAUAAGGUUGAUGACGUUUUACAAACGAGAGAAACAAAAAAUAAUUAUAUUAGCUUUAACGAGCUAAAAUUCAACACAGAUUAUGAACUGAAAGUAUUUAUAAAAACACACUUCGGUUAUAAUCCAGAACAUUUUCUACUCGCCAAUUUCAAGACUAAAUUAGAAAAUUUAAAACCGGUAGAAGAUUUAGUGGUUUAUAAAAAGAGCCUAAAGAAUCGUAUGGCAGGGUUUCGCUGGAGAUAUUCACAAGACACAAAUGUAGACGGUUUUAUCGUUUCGUUUGAUGAGAAUCCUUUAAUAAACACGAAAAACGUUUCCAUCAUACCACCGCAGAAAUGCUCUGCAUGGCCAGAGUACUAUUGUCAUACAUUUUAUAAUUUGAGUCCGAGCAACAACUAUACAUUUAAAGUAUUUGAAUUAGCUUAGAGUAUAAUCAUCUAAUACAAAAAUUAUAGAGAUAAAUAACUUCGAGGCUAUGUUAUAAUAUAUCUAUUUGGCUAAAUAUUGUCUCAAAACAACAUAAUAUAUCCAUUUAAACAUAAAGCCAAAGUCUAUAGAUUAUCCAGAAGGUGGUAAAGUUUUGUCUAUUUUUUUUAACAGCAUCGAUGGACUGCCCGAUUCUCCAAUGA
rnacentral:misc_RNA from 1 species